UGCAUUUCCCACCAGAGUUAAGACAGCUCUUGAAAGUGCUAGGGUGGAUUGGUUACCAACGUUAACACCUCCCCCUAGCAAAAGGCCAAAAGACGCAAAUCCAGAAGCACAGCCUGAUAGCAAAGCUGGCGUGACACCUUCCUCCCUGAAGAAGACUCAGACUGUGGAUGUUAGAGUUACUACUUCUGCAUUGCUUCAAAAGCCAGCCUCAGGGAGCCUUGAUGCAGUCUAUUCCAGAAUGACACAAACGACUGCUGUCCAGUUUUCCCCUACUUUCUCUCUGAAAGAAGAAACAACAGACAGUAAAGACAAAAACUCAAAAGCAGCUGAAACGAAGGGCUCUAGACCCCCAAGCCAGCUGCCUGCUCUUCAGACACUCCCACAAAGCAAUGUACACUCUUCAUUAUUGAUGCCUCUGGAAACACAGGUUCAUGAUGACUUAAUUCAAUCUUCAUUUCAAGGGCACAGGAGCACAACUGAUAGAUCACAGUCCCUCUCUUUGUCCCAGACACUGAACUGUACUAAACAUAUUUCUCAAGAAACCAAUGGGGACUCUCAAAGUGGAGCGCUAGUUUGGCAAGGUGAUGCUGAUCAUCAGACAAUUACAAGCAAACGUGAAGCAUCUGGAUCCUCUGUGAGCCCACAGACUUCUGCUAACUCAUCCCAAUUAAGCCAAUCACAGAUGUCAGAGUUAAAACUUUCCCAAACUAUUGGAGAGCAAGGAGUAACACCUGUCUUCUUUCCAGGUACAUCUACAUUUGUGAAUGCAGGCCUUCAGCCUCUAAGCACGUUUGAUUCUGUUCCUGCAGGGCAUCAGCCACUAGCUACAUCUGCUCCUGUUUAUGUUGGAUUGCGGCUAAGGGGCAUCUCCACUUCUGCUGAGAAGGGAUUUCACAUACCGAUUUCAUCUGCUUCUACUAGUUCUGGAUCUCGGGUUCAAGCCACUUCUGCCCAUCCUGGAUCUCAGGAAACCUUCCCUAUGAUGCUACAGAUGAGCGCAGUAGAAGACUCCAAGAGAAAGACAAGUCUGCCACAUCAGAUAGAUAAGGCUGGUUCUCCCGCACUGAGUCCACAAGCCAGCAUAACCUCCAGCCUCCCUGGAUUAUAUGACAACGGGAACCAGAAAGUUCCUCUUCAUGGCUUUGUCCCUUCAGCCUCCCAGAACCAGCAACCUGGCAGCCUGGAAUCUUUUCCUCCGAAACUGGCCUUGCUCCAAGCACAAGGAGGGCAGCCUAGCUCAACAACAGCACAUCCUGCUGGUUCUCAUGAGAUCCUGGCACAUCUGGCACAAGCACUAGUUAAGCAGUCUGGUAUCUCAGAUGAUGUAGCUACCAAAGACCUCAGCGGCUUUAGAGUCGAUCAACUUACAGACCUACCAUCAUCCCAAUAUUUGUCUUUUCUGCUUAGAAAUAAUAAUGGCAUAAUGUGCUUGCAGCCCAUGCAAGACUUCCCUUUGCCUACAGGAUUCCCAAGCGUCAGUGUUGGGACUCUGCUUUCCAUUCAACAAAUCCAACAAAUCCUGGCAGCCUCCAAUUCUUCAGCAUUAGAUCUUACAGACUUACAAAAUCUGAGUCCUUCUAGCUUAAUUCUGGUUAAGCCUGUAUUUAUCCUUUUACCCCCUGAGAGAGCAGAAUUCCAGAUGUUGCCCUCUCCUAAAGGUGAGGGUGACCACAAAACUGCUUUAUCUUUCACUAAUAAGCAAGAUCGGAAUUUGGUUACCCCUGAAAGCAGCCACAAUAUUCCAAUGAAAACUAGUUCCUCUUAUCCCACUAGUAAGCCUUUGAGGCCUGAAACUGCUUUCUCCACUGCUUCAAACCAAUCAGCAGAGAAAAUGAAAGGAACUUCUCAGCCAGUGCUGACUAAUACUAAUUCUCCAGCUACUACUAGUUUAUUUCAAGCACUGACCUUAGCAUCGAAUCACUUGUCACUGCAUCCACGGACAAGGAUGAGCACUACAGUGCAGGCCAAAAAUCUGCACAGUCUGCCUGAAGAGAUUCAGUUACCUGCUCCCUGUUCCCAAGAUGCCGAAGAGACUGAUCCGCUUUUACUCAGCGGCGUGUCUGCCGAGCCUCUCACCUCUGCUGUGCCGCCAUUAGCGUUGUCUACACAGCACAGCCUCUCUAUCUCCCCGAAAGGAUUUUUCACAGCUGAAAAGCCAAGCUCUUCUGUAAUUUCUUUACUGUCAGCAAGGGGACUCCCUGCUUCUGAAACACCAACCCAACCUCCGUUUACCGUGAGAAGGACUGCGGAUCAGCUUCAGCGCAGCAUAAAACUAUUGCUGCAAACAACCAGCCUUCAUCAAGGCGUAGUGACCGCAUCUUCCUCUGUCCAUACACAAUGCACAGAGUGUUUGAACUUGCGCUCAGCUGGAACUCUAAAACACCCAUUAAAGAUGUCCGCAAACAUCGUGCCUUUGCAGUCCACUUCACAAAGUGUCUCAAGCAUGGCGUCACUUCAAAGGCUGCCAGCACAAGUUCAGUUUGUGCCCAGCACGUUAUCAGCUUUCUCAGCACUUCCACCUGGAAACACCCACAAAGUUUCAGCAGUAGGAAGCACUGCCCAUUCAGGAGGAGUCACUGCGCAUGCUACAGUGGUACAAACACCGCCCACUUCUACAAAUCCUCAUCUUACUAAACACUUGAUACUUACUCCCAUUGUGCCUAAGUCCUUUAUGAUGACAGAGAGACCAACAGUAGCACCAGUGCAUGAUCCAUUUUCAGCCAAGGUCCAAAAGAAAACAGCUCUCUCUGGGAAACUGCUGUCUACAAUUACCCACCCAAGGAUAUAUGCUGAGUCUCCUGUAAGCCUUCCUUCAUCUGUGUCUGCAACUGCCCCCCUGCCAUCAGCCCUGAAAUAUGAGCAAACCAGUCUAGUACCUACUAAAUUGUUUUCACUGGCCAAUGUGGGAGAAAACACAAAACCAACUGAAAUCAGUACAAGUGCAAGAACAAUAGGAGCUAGUGCACUCUUGCGAACAAACGCGUCUCUGCCAGCCAUGUUUAACGCAAGGACAAAGCAACCCCCCACGGCAGUUCUUGGCAGUAAGAUUGCUUUAACUUUGGUACAACCAUCUGUGUCUGCAGGAUCUGUUGCUCUUGAGAGAGAGCCUAAAUUAACACCAAGUGCAUCACAAUCUUCCUCAGCCAUGACUUUUCUCUUUGCAGCUAAGAAUGAUCAUAUGACUGCUUCACUUACAAACAAAAAAGCGUUUCUCCCACCAACAUCAGCUAUCAGAUCUGAUCCAUACAUGGCAUUGCCUACAGUUUCCAGGGCAAACAAAGUAACUGUGGUCUCACCAUCAAUAGGGAAGAGUGAUGGCAUGUUAUUGAAAGAGGAAUAUUCAGCAGCAGCUGGCCAGCUGCCCAUUCAAGCACCUGUGUUUUCAUCACAUCAAGCUUCAGCAAGUCUACAAAGUCACCCUUUGGAGCAGAUAUCAUCAGAAGAUAACACUGAACAUGACCGUGGUCAUGUAAGUGCUGCAACUGUCAUGCAGGCUACUGGGCCAUCUACAAGAAAAUCAAUUUCUGUCUCUGCUAAUAGGCUUGUAAAUAAGGCUAUAUAUCAGUCACCUGUCUUAAAUGCAGUAGCUGCCAAUGAUGCUGAGAUGCUUCUAAGCCCAGAUUUAACCCAGUUCCUUCCAACCUCAGAAAGCCCCUCAUAUUCUUCACAGAUUCUGGUAGCACUUACACCAGAGAGAAAUUCCCUGGCAGUUGUUAGGAACAACAAACAUCUUGAGAAACCGUUCUUGAACACAGAAGCAGAGGAGAUGUUUAAAAGAAAUGAAGUGACUGAAGAAGCAGCUGAAGGCUUGGUAACUGUCCUGACACUGCUGGAUUCUGAGCCCAGCCCACCGCUGAGUGAAUCACGCCAGCGGAGUGUUUUGCAGUCAGAUGAUGUCCUUCUGACUGGCCAUGCGGUUGUAGCUGAUGAUGUCUGUGGCUCUGGUAACUACACUGUACAGAUGAGCCUACGCCCUGCCACAGAAGCAAGCUCUGAGGUCCACAGGCCACUUCCUUUCCAGGAGACUUUCCUGGCUUUAAUCGCUCUACAGAGUAACAGCAGCCACCCUGUGCUACAAAUCCGGUCAUGCUGUGUGACUCCUACCCCCAGGCCAGAGGGACCAGAUGCCACGUGCUGUCUGUUGGACAGGUUGCCAUCUGAAUGCAGAUACAUCCAGUUACUGCAGAGCAGCCAGUCCAGAGCUGCUAGCUUCACCAUCCAGCUGUUCCAGAUGCUGAAUCACUCAGUGGCCUAUCUGCACUGUGAGCUUAAUGUCUGUCUGCAUGGCAAAACAGGGUGUGAACAGGACUGCUUUGAAAGUGUGGAGAUGCUUCCCCCACCAAGUGAUAGGAACAGCUAUGGAGACCUGCACAACCUGAUCUCAUUUGGUCCAGUUUUGAGAAUGAAGAACAGGUUUCUAAAUAAACCUGUGGAAGGUCCUGAUUCUGCUAUGCUGGUACCCAUUCUGCUGGGAUCCCUUACUGGCUUUGCUGUCUUGGGUGGUGCUUUCCUCAGCCUCUGGCUGCAUCACAGACAGAACACCAAAAACCUAGGUUAUCCACCACUUGGAGAAAUCCAAGGCCUGUGAACUACAAGCAGCUGACUGCACCUGCAGGUUCCACAGCACCGCUACACUGAUCAGAAAAAGCAGUUGAUUUUGCUUUGCACACUGUAUUGCUUUUGUAGAACUGCUGAUGCAGGGAGCAAGGGAUCCAAUCUCUGCUUUAAGCAUAUCUCUCCCUUCUUUUCUUGUGCAGGAGAGGGUCCAAAAACUACAGAGUAAGAGAGAGGGCUGUAGUAGGGGUACAGCUGUAAAGGAGACCAGAACUUAGAAUGCUAUGUCUGCAAGGCACCAGCACCUAGUCUGUUCACAGAAAUGGGAAACCAGACAGGAAAUCAAAGUGCAGAAGAGAGAGGUAAAAUAAAACACUGCAAAGUAGAGCCAUGACAUCAAGGAGAAUGGAUGGCUCUGAAAAAAAUAACAAAACCUGAGAUCACUAAUUGGAAAUGUGGACAGGGGCCCAAGAGCUCCAGAGAUGCAACCACUCCACUUAUCAGCUUUUCCUAUGUCUAAGAUGCUGAGUCCCCUUUAUGCUUUUGCUUCACUCGCUAUACUGUUCUCUUGCUUUCAGUGGAAGCAAGUUUCCAGUAGCUGCCUGUUGGUAAAAUCCAAAUAGUGGGUGUAAGUUAACAAUUCUUAAGUUUUCUCCACAAAUCUGAAUUUCAGAGCACGCAGAAAAGAACUUGCCACAUCCAAAUCGUAGGUCCAGUUUCUUUGCUGUUGUUGUCAGAACAGCAGGCAGCGGAGGGGCAGUUGCCAGAGCACCUUGUGUCAAAUGCAACAAAGUAGUAGCUUGUACCUCUACUGGAUCAGCUUUCCUCCAAGAAUUUCUUCAGAUCUAAUAAGCAGCUAAAAAUCCUAGGUCAAGAUUCAAUGACAAUUAACCAUUCAGAAAUAGUAAUUAUCUGCACUGCAGUAGAGCUAAAGGUAAUAGUGCCACAUCGUAUUUGACAUGGACUUGCCUAGGUAGAAUGAAAACAGUCCCUGUGCUAAAUGGUUCAUGACCUAAAUGCACAGGGCCCAGGAAAGUGUCAUUAUAGGGUACUUUUUGCAGUUGGGGAGUCAAGGCAUAAAACAAUUAAAAGCAUGUGCGUGUCGAGACUGAGAUGUAGCCAGGACGGGUUCAGGUCUCCUGUGUCCCAGCCCUGUUCUUCAAGCAAAGGACUGUUCUCCCCUUCUAAAGCAAGAUUCUCAACAGGAUCUCUAAGACUGUUGCAGCAGGUUCUGUUAGAACUAGCAGCAAAAGGAAUAUCCUGCAAAAAGCCAUACUGCUAUUUGGAACUAAAACGCACCUGAAAUGCAGCCACAUCUGAAGUACAGCAGCAUCUUUGAAACAGAAAAAGAGAACACUUUGUGGUUUUCAAGGAGUCGAGCGUUGUGUCCAGUGGAAACUACGUGGGCAACUUGUCCUGGAGGCCAGUGCUGAUUUGAUGCUGGCUAAACUGCCCAGGCCAGCUCUUCAGAAUUCUCUUGUCUUCUCAGAUGCCCCUUGCAUGCGCUCAAUAACAUGCUUUAUCCCUGUGGUAACCAUCCUGGCUCUCCUUGCUUGUUAUAUUUCUGCUUAAAUAUUUUCUCAGGUUCAUGCACUGAUGGUCCCCAAAUGCUCUUAACUGGGGCCUUCUCUGUUCUUUGACCUCCUGGAGUGUUUGCCACACUGCCUUCUCAUCCAGCUCAACAAGGGCUAUGCCACACAGGAGUCUUACGGAUUUCUCUCUGCGUAAAGCCUGCCUUCCUUUCUAGUGUCAAACUGCUUCACUUUCACCCGGAGUAUACUGACAGCUCAGGUGAGGACUCCCUUCUUCAGCACAGUGCAAUUGCAAAAGGAUUGCUGCAUUGCACCAUUUUUCACCUUGUAUUCUUUAUGUAUUUGCCCACCUGCUGCUAGGUAUGAGAAGGAAGGGCAGCUUUAUGGAAACAUAGCCAGAUAGCCACAUCCAGUGUGGCCAACCCCUGUUCAGUAGCUGGCCUGGGUGCCUGGAAUGUGGUAAUGCAGCUCCCUCACGUAUGACUGAAAGUAACUCUGAGGAUCCACCUCUUGGCACUGAGAAAGGUGGCUCAUCUCAGGUAACUCCUCACCUCCCUAUGCAAAUCCGAAGCAGGAAGAGCUCCUUGAUUCUUCUCUGAUACCGCUUGAGCGGGAGGCAGCCAGCGAGGCUGCGUUCUGUCAUGACUUCACAGACAGAUCAGCACCUGGGCAGCUUAACUGUCUUAAAUAAGGAGGUUUUUUGAAGAGGACUGGGCUAAUGGGGCCAGUGGAGGCUUUAGGCAUGCAUUCCAAGUCAAGGCACAAGACAUGGAGAACAGUUUAUGCAGUGAAAUGUUCUCCGUAUCCGCUGCAGGACUCCAGCAUGGAGAGGGUCGCUUUUACAAGAGAGGAAUCAGAAGUUACCCCCCAGUAAGUUAGACAGCAGUGCAAGUGAUGGAGCAUGCAGGCUGGAGAGCAAAGGACACCUUCUAGCCCCAAAGAAGAAGUUUUUGCUUACCAGUGGACAUACAACAGAACUGACUAUUUUUGGGACAGGGGUUAAGUGAUGUCUUUGCUGGGAAAUGAUUCUGGAUUUUCAUAAGGGAGAUGUUCCAGUGGUUGAUUAUUUCUCUGGUGAGCACGUAGUCUUCACAGGUUUGAUUCUUUUGUUGUGGUAAGUAACACUCUUGUGCUGCUUGUGACAAUCUCACUGUGAUUUGGUAAGGAAUUCCAAAACAUGCCAGGUUUGAGGACUCUCUUCAUCAUCAUCCUAGUGGAAAGAUGCAGCAAUGUAAACAAGUAAUCCACAGCUCCAUGGGGGGCAAGGUGCACCUCUUCUGAUGGACAGUAUCAGCUGGGAGUCGUUACUUCAGCAAGUGUUGUUUCUUACCCUUUGUAGAUGAAGGAAUAGAAAAGUCUAUUUGCGCAUGCAGUGAUAAUUUCUUGGUUUCUGACCCUUCAGUAACAUGCAUUUGCGUAGCAAUGCUCAACAAUUAACAAGUAGCAGCACCUAGUGGCCCCUGCUUCAGGUUCUAGCAGGCAAGCCAAAAUAACAAUGUACAUUUAUCAUUUGCUCCCUCCAGUGAGAGAAUUGUGGGCUCCAGACAAAUAGACUUUUUAGCUUUGAACCUAAAACUGUUAAAGCUAUAGUAGCUGUGCUCAGGCUGAAAAGAAGUAUCGCUUUAUUGUUGGAGACUCUGUCUCAUCUAACUAUACUGGAGUGAUUGCCUUUAUUUGCUCUCCUGACAUUCCAGUGUCUUUAGUGCUUUAGUCCUUCAGAAGUCUAGUACUGGUUCUUUACUUUGCGUGAACAUGGGUGAGGGGUAGGAGAAUGGGAGCUCUUUUUCCGCUCUGGCCAGUGACUAGAAUUACCCUAGUGCAGGGAGGUUCUGGUCAGAAUGACUUCUACUUGCUGUGUCCAGGAAAACACCAGAUGCUGUUGUCCAGGAAAAGCUGGCGGUUAUUUGAUCAGGACAGACAAGAAAGAUGGAGCAGAAAUGUCAGGCUUAAAAAUUCUCUAUAAAACCUAAGAUAAGUUCUGGUGCGUGAGUCGUACCUAUAUUUCAUUGUUCAAUAUUGUUCUUUUCCUUAGAGAUGCUUUUACCCACUGAAGCUCUCUGGUCUAUGCUGAGUAAAAGAUCAGAUGGGAUGAUUGUUAAUGACCCUGCCCACUCUUAAAAAUCUCUCGGUCACUUCUCAUGCAUUUAUUUUCUUUUUGACGUUUGACCAGUUGCCGAAACGUGUGUAAUGAGGACGUUAUUAUAAACUGGGUUGAGAGAGGGGGCAGCCUGCAUGCCAUAGGGCAGGUUAUGGACAGCUCUUUUGUGCAAGAGGCUGAAACAGAAAACUCUGGAGGACACCAGAUACGUCCCCUUUUGCUGCCUCACUUCUUGAGAGAAUCCUCUUCAACCCCUCUGACCAGUCUCCAGUGACAGAAUGGCCCAACACCCACCUGGCAGAGAGCUCUGACAUUUCACUGGUUGUGCAGUGAUGUGUUCAGAUGUAACUCUGACCACUCCAAUGCAAGAGCGAGGUUCUUCCCUGGAGCGCAAGUGCAAGAAGCUGCUCAUUCUACUCUCCCCACCAACUGUAGGGCAUAGGAGCCUUUGGCUUGCAGGCUUGCCUCCUGCUGUAGAUUG